GGCCUUAGCUCAGCUGGGAGAGCGCCUGCUUUGCACGCAGGAGGUCAGGAGUUCGAUCCUCCUAGGCUCCACCA
rnacentral:tRNA from 1 species